rnacentral:rRNA from 1 species
UCCGUAGGCGGAAUUGUAAGUCAGUGGUGAAAGCCCACAGCUCAACUGUGGAACUGCCAUUGAUACUGCUUUUCUUGAAUAUAGUUGAAGUGAACGGAAUGUAACAUGUAGCGGUGAAAUGCAUAGAGAUGUUACAGAACACCAAUUGCGAAGGCAGUUCACUAAGCUAUUAUUGACGCUAAGGGACGAAAGCGUGGGUAGCGAACAGGAUUAGAUACCCUGGUAGUCC